CACGAGCGCACCCUUGUCUCAUGUUGCCAGCGCGUUAUGGCGGGGACUCGUGAGAGACUGCCGGGGUCAACUCGGAGGAAGGUGGGGAUGACGUCAAGUCAUCAUGCCCCUUAUGUCCAGGGCUUCACACAUGCUACAAUGGCCGGUACAAAGGGCUGCGAUGCCGUGAGGCUUAGCGAAUCCUUUAAAGCCGGUCUCAGUUCGGAUCGGGGUCUGCAACUCGACCCCGUGAAGUCGGAGUCGCUAGUAAUCGCAGAUCAGCAACGCUGCGGUGAAUACGUUCCCGGGCCUUGCACACACCGCCCGU
rnacentral:rRNA from 1 species